rnacentral:rRNA from 1 species
CCCUUAGAUGUUCUGGGCCGCACGCGCGUUACACUGAUGCAUUCAACGAGCUUAUAACCUUGGCCGAGAGGCCUGGGCAAUCUUGUUAACGUGCAUCGUGAUAGGGAUAGAUUAUUGAAAUUAUUAAUCUUGAACGAGGAAUUCCUAGUAAACGCAGAUCAUCAAUCUGCAUUGAUUACGUCCCUGCCCUUUGUACACACCGCCCGUCGCUACUACCGAUUGAACGGUUUAGUGAGGGCCUCGGAUUGGUCUCGGCCCGCUCUUUACCGGGCGGCGCCGUUGGUCGAGAAGACGCUCGAACUUGAUCGUUUAGAGGAAGUAAAAGUCGUAACA